rnacentral:lncRNA from 1 species
ACGAGCAAUUCGGCUACCUGGAUUAACUUUACCUGAAUUACCACCUCUACCUUCAGUCACAUUGCCAACUCUACCUCCAGUCUCAUUGCCACAUCUAAGAGUACCACCUCUACCUUCAGUCACAUUGCCAACUCUACCUCCAGUCUCAUUGCCACCUCUAAGAGUACCACCUCUACCUUCAGUCACAUUGCCAACUCUACCUCCAGUCUCAUUGCCACCUCUAAGAGUACCACCUCUACCUUCAGUCACAUUGCCAACUCUACCUCCAGUCUCAUUGCCACCUCUAAGAGUACCACCUCUACCUUCAGUCACAUUGCCAACUCUACCUCCAGUCUCAUUGCCAC